GCGAGAUUUUAGUGAAUGGACUGCGGUUCCAGAACGUGAUGCGUUUCCUGACCGUGCUUCCACUGCACCUUUCUUCUUCCGGCGAGUUCAAAGCAUACGGAGUGCGAUGGUGUGUCGUCUUCACCACAGGCACGCGACCUAUGGAUUUCUAAAAUCCACGCCUGCGGUCAUGUUGGACAAAACAGCGAGUGUUUCUGCAGACGUGCCCCGUCCCCCAACGCUCUGCCCACGAGGGCAGGUGCCUGCAAGCCACGUCACACCCACGCGUCUUUCCCGAGGAGCACCAUCUUGGCUCCCGGCCGCACGUGGGCUUUGCAGCGGAACCUGUCCUCAUUCCCAAUGACAGGCGGCUGCUCGCGGCUUCUCAAGGAUAAUCGCAGGCCGCCGGCUCGUCCUCCUGCACGUGCGUGCUCUCACAGCCGGAGACCCAGGUCGACAGCCAACAGCGCCACGGCGGUUUCUGGCCCUAAGAAUUCAGACGCCGCAAGCUGGUAAGAUUCUGCUUUCUCUUGGAAAUUUCAACCAAGAAGAAUUCAAGUCCUGUCUCUGGGCCGAAGUUUCAGAGGGCAGUGACAUUUCCUAAGGUCACACAGAAAACCGAGGCCCUGGUUCCUGACUGUGCUCACGAGGCCACCCACCCCGCAGGUGACGUUCACACGUCCUGACACUUCCCUGGGGUCUUCACAACCUUCAGUGAGAAGAAGACGCAGGCGUACAGAACACUGUCUUUGUGACGUGCUUUCUCCACUCUAAGAAAAGCAUUACCUCCUGAUGGAUUUUACGUGUAGACUGAUUUUCUCAGUCUCAGUGUCAGGGUUCUGGGCUUACUUGCAAACCGGCUUCCUGGUCCGGCCGCAUUCCCCAGGCUGGGUGGUCGCUGUGGACCUGGUGUGUGGGGGGGGUGGCCGGUAGGCUCCGCACAGAGGCACCCGGGUCAUAGCCCCCUGGGUCACCGCGUUCAGAGAUCCGGCAGGGCGUCCACCACCCUGAAUGGGACCACGGCCGAGGGCCGUCUGCUCGCUGCGGAGCACGGCGGCUGUGCUGGGUCACCACAACGCUCCCUUCCCUGGGCUUGGAAUAGGGUUUCAGGGUUGCCCUCGUUUUCACGGCCACAAGAUCCGUG
rnacentral:lncRNA from 1 species